AUGUGUAGGAUAGGUGGGAGGCUUUGAAGUGUGGACGCCAGUCUGCAUGGAGCCGACCUUGAAAUACCACCCUUUAAUGUUUGAUGUUCUAACGUGGACCCGUAAUCCGGGUUGCGGACAGUGUCUGGUGGGUAGUUUGACUGGGGCGGUCUCCUCCUAAAGAGUAACGGAGGAGCACGAAGGUUGGCUAAUCCUGGUCGGACAUCAGG
rnacentral:rRNA from 2 species